UUUGCUAAUACAAAGUGAAGUCUAGUUUGCUUUUCUGCCUCCAGAUGCCUUGCAAGGACAGCUGAUGCAAGAUGAUGUACAUUUCACCUGGCAGUCAGGAGUGUUUAUUCAAGGAUGGACAUGCUUUCUGAAUCCUGCAAGAUACCAAAGAAGGCUGCCAUGUUGAGUCUCAUGAGGCAGAUUAGGACAGAGAAAAGUCAAGUUUCAUUAUGAACCACUGGAUAUCACACAAUUUAAGAAUUGGAUGAAAUUUGUAGGCAUAAGAGUCUUUUUUUGAAUGGAUGGAACCCAACCACUUCAACUAAACAG